UUCCUUUUGAUUUUGGUAUGCAUGAUUUUCCUUGUGCAUAUUAACCUGUUGCCAUUAAAAGAAACAGAAAAUUAUAAGAUCAUGUAAUAUAACAUAGGUUCUAGCCACAAAUAACAUUAGUACUGUAUCACAACACUAGUGGAUUUUGGUUUGUUAGAAUUUUUAACUGUCUUGGCUUUUUUUUUUAAUAUCCUUUCUAAAACUGUGUAUUCAACUCCUGAUUUUUCAUUCAACCCAUGAUGAUGCUUCCUGACUGCUCAGCUGGAAU
rnacentral:lncRNA from 1 species